rnacentral:rRNA from 1 species
UGGUCAAGUUAUUAAGGGUGCAGGGCGGAUGCCUUGGCACUAGGAGCCGAUGAAGGACGUGAUAAGCUGCGAUAAGCUUCGGGGAGUUGCACGUAAACUUUGAUCCGAAGAUUUCCGAAUGAGGAAACUCACUUAGAGUAAUGUCUAAGUAUCAUUAAGUGAAUACAUAGCUUAAUGAGGGGAACUCAGGGAACUGAAACAUCUAAGUACCUGAAGGAAGAGAAAGAAAUUCGAUUCCGUAAGUAGCGGCGAGCGAACGCGGAUUAGCCCAAACCAAUAAAGUUUUCUUUAUUGGGGUUGCGGACAUAUCAUAACGAAGAGGUAUCGUAAUUGAAGAGGUUUGGAAAGACCUACCACAGAAGGUAAUAGUCCUGUAUGU